UGUACCACCUUGUCGGGUAGCUUAUCAGACUGAUGUUGACUGUUGAAUCUCAUGGCAACAGCAGUCGAUGGGCUGUCUGACAUUUUGGUAUC
ensembl:miRNA MIR21 microRNA 21